UCCCCGUUACCGGGGCAGUCUAGCUAGAAAAAUUCAACUAACUAUAAGGGUUGCGCUCGUUGAAGGACUUAACCUAACAUCUCACGACACGAGCUGAAGACGGCCAUGCAACACCUGUCAUUGGAUUCCCGAAGGCACUCUCUCCUUUCGGAGAAAUUCCCAAGAUGUCAAACCCUGGUAAGGUUCUUCGCUUACCAUCGAAUUAAACAACACGCUCCACCGCUUGUGCGGGUCCCCGUCAAUUCCUUUAUGUUUUAAGCCUGCGCUCGUACUCCACAGGCGGGACGCUUAACGCGUUAGCUUCGCUACUAGAAGGGUCGAUACUCCUAACAGCUAGCGUCCAUAGUUUACAGCGUGGACUAC
rnacentral:misc_RNA from 1 species